rnacentral:rRNA from 1 species
AUUGAACGCUGGCGGCAUGCCUUACACAUGCAAGUCGAACGGUAACAGGUUAAGCUGACGAGUGGCGAACGGGUGAGUAAUGUAUCGGAACGUGCCCAGUCGUGGGGGAUAACUACUCGAAAGAGUGGCUAAUACCGCAUACGACCUGAGGGUGAAAGCGGGGGACCGUAGGGCCUCGCGCGAUUGGAGCGGCCGAUGUCAGAUUAGGUAGUUGGUGGGGUAAAGGCUCACCAAGCCAGCGAUCUGUAGCUGGUCUGAGAGGACGACCAGCCACACUGGGACUGAGACACGGCCCAGACUCCUACGGGAGGCAGCAGUGGGGAAUUUUGGACAAUGGGCGCAAGCCUGAUCCAGCAAUGCCGCGUGCAGGAAGAAGGCCUUCGGGUCGUAAACUGCUUUUGUACGGAACGAAACGGUCCUGGUUAAUACCUGGGGCUAAUGACGGUACCGUAAGAAUAAGCACCGGCUAACUACGUGCCAGCCGCCGCCGUAAAAC